rnacentral:snoRNA from 1 species
GGUCACAAUUUGUGUUAAAUGGAUACUUACUAUAUGUGAGCAGUGUUAUUUCUUAUGUGCUAUACAAAUAGUUGAAGGUUAAUUAGCAGUAGAAAUAAUGCCAGUCUCCUUCAGACAAAA